rnacentral:lncRNA from 1 species
UAAGAAACAAGAAAUUGAUCUAUCCUCCUCUACGACUAGAAAGCUCUACAUCUGCUGAGCAACGUCCCCAUUCAUCAGAACAGUAAUCUGCUGCUACAUUAUCUGGGCCACAAGGGUGCUACGGCAUUGCUGGCUGUCCUACAGGCUUAAUGCAAUCCCAGACAAGUGAAACACUCAUCUGAAUUUCAACAGCCUGUGGACACAUCAAGGAAAGAGC